GUUCAGGGAAGGCUUUGGGAUGGCAGCACAUCAGCCAUUCUCCUCCUGUUCUUUUGGGAGCUGGCUGUGUAGAUUGGGCCUGUGGUCUCCUGCCUUGCGGAAUCAUGGCUUCCUGUGCGAUGCAGUCACGUGGUCCUGGCUUCUGUGCACUGUGCAGCGGACAUGGGUUGACAAUAAGAUGAAUUAGGGUCUCAAGAGAAGUGGUUUCUGGCUGGCAGCUGGGGACACAUGAAAAAUGUGCAUGGCCUUCUGCAUACUCUGCAAGUUGGUGAAUGUGAAAUAUAAAACUCCUUUCCUUACAGAGUCAUAGCUUCCGCUUGCCUCUCUCACCCGAAUACAGGUAGCUAUUAUUAUCUCUGCAGGAAGUGUUUUUAAAAAUUUGUAUUUUGUGAAAUUAGACCACUUUCUUAUACCACAUACAAGAAUAAACUCAAAAUGGAUUAAAGACUUA